rnacentral:tRNA from 1 species
GGUGGGAUGGCUGAGUGGACGAAGGCGGCGGUCUUGAAAACCGUUGUGGCGCAAGCCACCGUGGGUUCGAAUCCUACUCCCACCGCCA